rnacentral:lncRNA from 1 species
UGACAAGGCAAAAACCCAUUGAGCCAAAAGAAAUAAUGUUUUUUUCCGCAUUCCCAGUUCAUCCCCUAUACUUCGCAUGAAUUUCUUCCCAGCCUGCUGCAGUCCACAAACACACUUACAUACACACACUCGUUCAAUUCACCUUUAUGACUUCACUAAUGCUUAACAAAGGAGAUCACGAGUGAGUGUCUUGGGACUAAUUAAAGCUGCCCCUCCCAUGCCUUCCUCCUUACCCUGCACAGAUAAGACUGGUCGCCUCCAUAGUCAUAUAUAGUUGUCUAUGGUUGCCUCCCUCUAAGACAAAUACCACAGACUGAGGGCAGGACUAAAGGAGCCGUGUCAGAGCCCACACCCCUAGCUCAACUCUAAGUCUACACAUGUUUGUGUGAAGGCCGGCAUGGACUUCCAGAGAAAUCCCUGUCAAAUUAAGAUAAGGGAUAUUGGGCAGUUUUGUGACAAUGGCACAAUAAAAUUGGAAAACGGAUCAAGAGAGUAGGUAUAAAUGUGGGUGGAAUCGGAGACAGUGCCAAUGGCAGUGACAGCUGAGCAGAACUUUGACCUGAGUUUCCUGAGCAGAGAGGAGACUCAGACUGUGCUGAGGGUGCUCGAGCGAGACAGGCAUCUGAAGAUGAUCGAGGCAGAGAGAGUGGGCCGGUUGUUCCCUGGGAGAGACACUAGGCUGGGAAUGAAGAACUCUGUGAGCUCUUCCCCUCAGCGAGCGCAGACCGUAUGGAGCACCAUGCUCCCAGUCUCACCAGUGCAGGCAAACCCACCACCUAUAAAGGCUUCACCCAGGCUGAACACACAGGCAAACCCACCACCUAUGAAGGCUUUACCCAGGCUGAACACACAGGCAAACACAGAAAGCCAAGCUGGCAGAGCUGGAGAUUCGUCAGGAGGAGUCGGGAAGCACCCGAGCCUACGCUCUCGUCUCUCCUCACUGCUCAGCAUCCCAUUUCUGCAGCGCAAAAGCAACAGCAGAGACGGGAACAUCAGCAGAGACGUGAACAUCAGCAGAGACGGGAACAUCAGCAGAGACGUGAACAUCAGCAGCGGUCAUAGAGACAUGGGCAGCAGCAGCAGAGGCACAGAUGCAAGCAGCAGCAGCAGCAUCAGCAGGCCUCAACAGGUACAGAUCAGCAUUCAGUCAAUCAUAGCCCAGCACCAACGUUAUGUACGUCACGUAAUGUUUUGUUAAUCAUAAAAUAAAAUAAAAUAUUCCUGUGCUGGAUAAUUUCA